rnacentral:rRNA from 1 species
CACAGUGUAGCAAUACAUGGGUGGCGACCGGCAAACGGGUGCGGAACACGUACGCAACCUUCCUUCAGGCGGGGAAUAGCCCAGAGAAAUUUGGAUUAAUACCCCAUAAUAUUUUGAGAUGGCAUCAUCUUAUUAUUAAAGCUACGGCACCUGGAGAUGGGCGUGCGGCUGAUUAGGUAGUUGGCGGGGUAAUGGCCCACCAAGCCUACGAUCAGUAGCUGAUGUGAGAGCAUGAUCAGCCACACGGGCACUGAGACACGGGCCCGACUCCUACGGGAGGCAGCAGUAAGGAAUAUUGGUCAAUGGACGCGAGUCUGAACCAGCCAUGCCGCGUGGAGGAUGAAGGUCCUCUGGAUUGUAAACUUCUUUUAUCUGGGACGAAAAAAGGGUUUUCUAACUCGUCUGACGGUACCAGAUGAAUAAGCACCGGCUAACUCCGUGCCAGCAGCCGCGGUAAUACGGAGGGUGCAAGCGUUAUCCGGAUUCACUGGGUUUAAAGGGUGCGUAGGCGGGCAUUUAAGUCAGUGGUGAAAUACCUGAGCUUAACUUGGAACUCCCAUGAUUCUAUUUGUCUUGAAUGUCGUGGAGGUUAGCGGAAUAUGUCAUGUAGCGGUGAAAUGCUUAGAUAUGACAUAGAACACCUAUUGCGAAGGCAGCUAACUACGCGAAUAUUGACGCUGAGGCACGAAAGCGUGGGGAUCAAACAGGAUUAGAUACCCUGGUAGUCCACGCCCUAAACGAUGAUUACUCGACAUUAGCGAUACACUGUUAGUGUAUGAGCG